CAGCAGCUAUCAGUGGCAUAAUGAAACUGGUGCUCAGCUGCAUCAAGGAAACAUCUACAUGCUGCCAAAUGUCUCCAGACACACAGGAGCUCUGUACUGUACUGCCAUCAAUGCAGUAGGACGAGGCAUUUCAACCCCUGUGCAGCUUAAUGUGUUAUAUGCCCCUGAGAUUAAGACGGCUUCUGCCUGCUCCUCUGAGGCAGAUAUGGUAAAGUGUGUGUGCAUUGCGGAGUCCAAGCCUCCCAGCAUGGUCUAUUUUGUGCUUUCUGACAGAGUCCUGCCAAGCACCGAGGUAGAGAAACAUGGCUUUGUUACCACUGGGACUCUGCGGGCAAAGUUUGGAUCUUCUCAACACCCUGGGCAAUGCCAACCUCACACUCCCUUUACCUAACGUUUUUUAUUUUUUAUUUUCAGAAGCACAUGACAUUCACCUGAACACUGAAGGAAUGAACUUUGUAUUGAGAAAGAGUAAAAUUACACUACAUGGUUUCUGUUUGGACAGGUAAGAUGCAGAAUCUUUAUAUUAUCAUCACUUCUGGAGCAGGAGGGAUUUUGGUGAUGCUUUUAAUAACAGUGACAGUUGUUAAAAAACAGUAAGUUAUGUUUUUCAAAUAAAGCAUUGAAAUGUGA